AAAAAAAAAAAAAAAAAAUUCUACCAGAAAGGGUUGCUUGACAGAUGUGAUGGUUAAUAUUAGAUGUCAACUUAAUUGAAUUGAAGGACACCUAGAUAGCUGGUAAAGUAUUGUUUCUGGGUGUGUCUGUGAGGGUGUUGUCAGAGGAGAUUGACAUUUGAGUCAGUGAACUGGGAGAGGAAGACCCAUCCUCAAUGUGGGUGGACACUAUCCAAUUGGCUGCCAGAGCAGCUAGAAGAAAGCAUAUGGAAGAGGGUAGGAUAAGCUGGCUUGCUGAGUAUUCUGGCUUUCAUCUUUCUCUAGCACUGGAGGCUUCCUUCCGUUCCUCCUGCUCUUGGACAUCAUACUCUAGGUUCUUCAGACUUUGGACACUUGGACUUAACACCAGUGGUUUGCCGGCGGCUCUCCGGCCUUUGGCCACAGACUGAAGGCUUCAUUGUCAGUUUCCCUGCUUUUGAGGCUUCUCAGCUGGGACUGAGCCACUACUGACUUCUUUCUUCCCCAGCUUGCCGAUAGCCUUCUGUGGGACUUCAGCUUGUGAUCGUCGAUCAAGUUCUCUGAAGCAUACCGUACUGUUUCACAGCCAACACCAGCAACUGAAUCACCCCAGAUCUUUUCUUCUCUACUUUUUUCUUCUUCAAGAGAAUUGAACAUUUUCAUUACUUACCUUCUUUACUUUCACCGUUUUUAUCAUUCAGAACAGUUGAUUCCUUCUCUAGCAAAAAAAAUCUCUGCCUUUACUCAACCAUGUCUCGACUAUUGCUCAACCAAAUCAAUCUGUACUGCAUCUCAGCCAAAUUAACUGUUGACAGCUUUGCACUAUAAAAUUUCUUCCCUCAUCAGAACUAGUGUAAAUUACUGUAACUUUCACCUCUCAGAUCCCAGUUGUUCCCUUUGAAGUCACAUAGAAUAAAUGGAUUUUUUCUUUUAGAAUAGCUUACUAGGAAGAGUAAAAGUUUUGGAAUCAGACUGUGUCUGUUCAAAUACCAUCUCUCCUUAGCAGACAUAAGACGUUGAAACAAAUUACUUACCUUCUCUUUGUUUCUAUUUAUUUUAUAUGGAAAAUAAUAAGAGUAUCUAGCUCGUAUGAUUAUAUUGAAGAUUAAAUGAGGAUUAAGAUCCUAGUACAAAGC
rnacentral:lncRNA from 10 species